AUACAAGAAAGGAAGUGGACCAAUCAACAGACCCUAACUCCAAGAAGCUACAAUUAAUACGGACAUUUGUGUGACAUUUAAAGAAGUGUAUUUUUUAUAUGUUUAUAUCUUCAACUCUUUGUUAGUUCACAAUGUGAAUUAUACUGCAAUAAGUACAUUAUGAUGAAGUAAUAUGAAGUGAUCAUUUUAAUACAGUUGGUAGAGCAAGAAAUAUUUCACUCAAGGACCAAAUACCAAAGCAAUAAAUCCUUCAAGGAUUCAUAGUUUGAAGUUAGAAAUUCUUGUUGCUAUUCUUGGUAUUUCCCGUGUCAAAUAAAGGAUCAAGAAAAAUAAAACUGAAAACGAUAGGAACUGAAACGUGCCGGAUUUGAUUGUGAAACUGCACUCGGUUGUGCCUUUUCCAAGAAGAAAGGGUGAAGUGGUUUGAGAAAUGAAUAGACAGGAAAAAGGUACAAUGUGUUCACGUCGCGAAAGGAGUCCCUGUUGAUUUGAGAAAAAACAAGGAGAAAAGAUGUAGAGGAAGAAGUGAAAAUGGACAAUUAGAGGAAACAUGGACGCCUCUAAUGCCAUUGGCAAUAGCACUGAGGAUUUCUGCAGCACUAAAUUUAAGAACUUUGUACCUCCAGAAGAUGAACUCUGGUGCAAACCAGUAUGGGACUCGUUGCUGUGCUGGCCACCGACCAAAGCAUCCGCGACGAUCAAGCAGAGAUGCCCGUUCGAGAAUGGAUUCGAUACCACCAAAUUCGUGGAGAAGAAGUGCGGCUACAAUGGUCGGUGGGAGGGUCAGAACGGCACCACCAACGUGGAUUCAUCUCACGGAUGGGCGAAUUACACCACCUGUCUGAUACCGGAAAUGCUGCGGCUGCACGGCAAAGUUUAUACCAACACCGUCGAGGGAAACAUGAAAAUGGACAUAGUUGAGAAAACCCGCACACUGGAGUUUGUUGGCUUAAGCAUUUCUUUGGUAGCGCUACUCGCUUCACUUGCCAUAUUCUGUCGUUUUAGGUCUUUGAGGAAUACUAGGACCAGGAUACAUAAGAACCUCUUUGUAGCCAUGGUUGUACAGGUUCUUAUCAGAUUGACGGUGUACAUAGAUAUUGAAAUUUUAAGGAAGAAGACAUAUGGUAUUCAACGAGGUAUAGGAAACACUCCUGUGCUGUGUGAGACAAGCUAUGCUCUUCUGGAGUAUGCAAAGACCUCCAUGUUCAUGUGGAUGUUCAUAGAGGGUCUAUUUCUGCACAAUAUGGUUACUGUGACGGUGUUCCAAGAAACGUCUUACUAUAGGAUGUACAGAUUCAUCGGCUGGGGAUGUCCUGUUGUGAUGACUUUAGCCUGGGCCAUCAUUACCGCAUUUUACUAUCAUCCAAAGUCCAGAUUUUCCAGAUGCUGGUCAGGGUAUAAUUUGUCUUCCUACUUUUGGAUCCUUGAAGGACCUAGGUUUGCAGUUAUAUUGCUCAAUUUUCUGUUCCUACUGAACAUUGUAAGGGUACUUGUGAUGAAGCUUCGACAGAGCCAUACCAGCGAAAUCGAGCAAGUACUAAAAGCUGUACGAGCAGCAGUGGUGCUUCUACCACUUCUGGGCAUCACCAACGUGCUCUUCAUGAUAGAAGCACCGUUGCAUAACGUGAAGAAAUUUGCACUGUGGUCUUACUCCACUCACUUCCUGCAGUCUUUUCAAGGCCUAUUCAUUGCAACACUCUACUGUUUCCUAAACGGCGAGGUGAGACUCGCUCUGGACAAAACCAUAUCCGUCUAUCUGUCUAUAAGAGGAACCGACCUGCAAGCGAGAAGACAGCUGACCUACAGUGGCUGCCAACCCCAAAGAAUAGUAUCAGUAAUUGAAAUGGAGGAGGAGGAGAUAAGACCGAGCGGUUGGAUAAGACUGUGCUGUCGAGGUGGAAACACUCCGCCACCGGACCGACCUGCCGAGUGAGUAAUGAUCGAAGAAAACCCGCCAAUCCGCAUUUAGAUCAUUACCAGCAUCGACGGUCGAUCCUUCUACUAGUAAACAGCCGUUUGACCCUGGAGCUCCUCAGGACAUACUGACCAAAAGCUUCAGAAUUUUGGACGGUGAAGAAUUAGGUUGCAAA
rnacentral:misc_RNA from 1 species